rnacentral:lncRNA from 1 species
ACAACCCAAUCCCAAAAUCCGCAUUUCUCACUACAACAGAGAAAUAAUCUCCCUUUAUUUACUGUCUGCUUCUCUACCAUGAAACACUUUUCAAAUCCAUUCUUGCAUGCCCGGCAUCUGCGCUUCCUUGGGCAUUCAUCAAAGAAAUGGCCCCUAGCUCUACAACUAUGACACAUUCCUCUAUUCUUUCCGUCUAUUCUGCCUUACGAAUAAACUACGAUUAACAGAAAUAAAUUCACGGUCACUAUAACAAUUAAAGAAACGACUUCAAUGUUGGAGAACAUUGAUAAUUUCAUCUCAAAUUUCAUAGUGAUUGUGCAAUAAUAGGCUGUGAUUGUUGAUAAUUACUGACAUGUUGGAAUGCAACAUACAGAGUUUUCUUCAUCAGUAAUGUACCAUGUUAGACCCCUUCAAUUUAGCAGCAGUAAACUAUGAACAACCAUGGAGGUGAACACUAGAAAAUAACAAAAACACAAACAACAGCUUUAUAGUGACACAGGAAAUAGUGAUAACGAUGCAUAAUGACAUUGCACAAUGAAAUUAAAAAGAAUAAAAAUUUCAUACAAACACACCAAUAGUUCACCAACAAUUCACAAAUUUGUUAUACGAAUUUAAUAAAAAAUGUGCAAAACCACGAGAUGAAGAUUGCAAUAUCCCGAAGUUCAGCUACGUGAUGCCAUAUCACAAACAAAGCUUUGUCGGUUGACAAUGGUGAAUCGAGAGCUGGUGGAAAUGGAUGGAAACGACAACAAACCCGUGGCCGAAAAUGGUGAGGCGAUGGCCAAACCCCCCGAUCGAAAUGCAGUCAGAGCGCCAAUGGUGACGUCGUCUGAAGUGUGGCCGGAGAUGGUGAAAUUCGGGUUCCAACUUGGGAGAUUUGAUUUGGGGGCUUAGGGUUCCUUUUGGGAUAAAAUGGCACAAUCAAGUCUUGCUUUGGACAGACUUUAUUCUCUCUCUUUUAAUCAAUGCCGUCAGUCGGGAACUUAACCCUAUCAUCAAUCCCUGUUUGCCUAGCGGGAUUGUUCAUGAUAAUUGAUUUGUGU